rnacentral:rRNA from 1 species
GAUGAACGCUGGCGGCGUGCCUAAUACAUGCAAGUCGAGCGAAGCGGGGACGGGUGAGUAACACGUGGAUAACCUCCUAUAAGACUGGGAUAACUUUGGAAACCCGGAGUUAAACCCGAUACUUAUCGAUUGAUCCGCGCGUGAUUAGCUAGUUGGUAAGGUAACGGCUUACCAAGGCAACGAUGCAUAGCCGACCUGAGAGGAUGACAGGCCACAAUGGAACUGAGACACGGUCCAGACUCCUACGGGAGGCAGCAGUAGGGAAUAUUCCGCAAUGGGCGAAAGCCUGACGGAGCAACGCCGCGUGAGUGAAGAAGGCCUUCGGAUCGUAAAGCUCUGUUAUUAGGGAAGCGGUACCUAAACAGAAAGCAACGGCUAACUACGUGCCAGCAGCCGCGGUAAUUC